rnacentral:rRNA from 1 species
AGUAAAAGUCGUAACAAGGUUUCCGUAGGUGAACCUGCGGAAGGAUCAUUAAAGAGUAAGGGUGCUCAGCGCCCGACCUCCAACCCUUUGUUGUUAAAACUACCUUGUUGCUUUGGCGGGACCGCUCGGUCUCGAGCCGCUGGGGAUUCGUCCCAGGCGAGCGCCCGCCAGAGUUAAACCAAACUCUUGUUAUUUAACCGGUCGUCUGAGUUAAAAUUUUGAAUAAAUCAAAACUUUCAACAACGGAUCUCUUGGUUCUCGCAUCGAUGAAGAACGCAGCGAAAUGCGAUAAGUAAUGUGAAUUGCAGAAUUCAGUGAAUCAUCGAAUCUUUGAACGCACAUUGCGCCCCUUGGUAUUCCGAGGGGCAUGCCUGUUCGAGCGUCAUUACACCACUCAAGCUAUGCUUGGUAUUGGGUGCCGUCCUUAGUUGGGCGCGCCUUAAAGACCUCGGCGAGGCCUCACCGGCUUUAGGCGUAGUAGAAUUUAUUCGAACGUCUGUCAAAGGAGAGGACUUCUGCCGACUGAGACCUUUAUUUUUCUAGGUUGACCUCGGAUCAGGUAGGGAUACCCGCUGAACUUAAGCAUAUCAAUAAGCGGAGGAAAAGAAACCAACAGGGAUUGCCCCAGUAACG